CCUCAUGCUACCCUUUUGUUCUUCACCAGAUGACACACAAUAAUGUUGAACGUCACGCCACCAGGCACGCAGCCGCUCCUUUCCAUCUCCACCAUCAACCUCCUUGCCUCCGCUUCGCGCCCUUCACGGUAGAGGGAGUCGAGCAUCAUGGUGUAGGUAUAUGCGCUAGGAUUUAAGCCCUUGGAAGGGAGAUGGUUGAAGAGCCUCGUAGCAUCAUCGAGUCUUCUGCUCUUGCACAAGCCGUUGAUCAGAACAUUAUACGUUACAAUAUCAGGUUUCAUGCCUUCUGCCUCCAUCAUCGUCAAAAACGCAAACGCCUCAUCGAUCCGACUUAUCCGACACAAGCCAUCCAACAAGAUGUUGUAGGUGUAGACAUUCGGAUGUAGAUUCUGAGCUUCCAUAUCUUGGAAAAGCUUCCACCCAUCUGAAAAACUACUUUGGCGUAUUAGCCCAUGCAUCAUCAUGUUGUAUGAUACGGUUGAGUGUUUGAGACCUACACGUGAGAUUUCAUCAAAGAAAUGCAAAGCUUCAUCAAGGUUUCCCGUCUUGCAGUAUCCCUUAAUCAAGAUAUUAUAGGUGACUAUACUUUGGUUGAUCCCCGUCCUUUCCAUUGAAGCGAAGAGCUCUCUGGCUCUAACCAUCUCGCCCUGCGAGCAAUAUUGAUCUAUCAAUAUGUUGCACGUGACAACACUAGGCGAGAUGCCCUUCUCCAUCAUCUCGGACAGCAAAAGCAGAGCUUCAUCAACCAUCCCACGCUUCGAUAACCCAUCCAAUAAUGUAUUAUAAGUCCGCACAUUAUGCUCGAGACCUUUAUCGCGAAUUUCAAGAAAUAUAAGCCAAGCUUCAUCCAAGCUUCCUUUCUUGCAAUAUCCAUUUAGCAAGGUGUUAUAGUUAACAAUAUCGGGUGUAAGGCCCCUCUCUACCAUGGAAUCAAGUAACUGUUUCGCUCUUUCGAUUUCGCCCUUCAGGCAGAGCCCUUCAAUAAGCGAAGAAUAAGUAGAGACAGUGGGAUAAAUAUUUUGUUGCGUCAUGAUUUCCAACAUAUUCUCAGCCGAUUCCAUCUUUUCUUCCUUACAAUAUGCAUUAAUCAUGGAAUUAUAAGUGACAACGUUAGGUAAAAUACCCUUCCCAACCAUUUUGGAUAGAACCUUGAAGGCAUUGUCCACCAUUCCACACUUCCAAAAUCCAUCAAUUAGUGCACUAUAAGUGUAAACGUCGGGACCCCACCCACUACUUUCUAAUCUAUGAAGCCAAUCUUGGGCUUCAAUGGCCUGUCCAGCUUUGCACAGCCCAUCAAUCAGUUGCAGAUUCAUAAGACGAUUUGGCUCGCAAAGUUUUAAAUCCAGAAUCUUUUCGAACAAUUUCACAGCUUCAGCCUCCUUAUUAACUAAGAAUAACCCUUUUAUGAGAGUGCUGAAAGUCGUGACGUCUGGUUCGUAACCUCUCUUGAGAAAGAAUCCCAUUACAGCAAAAGCAGAGUACAUAUCUUUCAAGAGACAACAACAGUUGACAGCAAUAUUCAUUGUGUAAUCACAAACGGGAACACCCAUCCUAAGCAUUUCAUCGAACACAUGAAGGGCAAAAUAAUACUGCUCAAUCUUUACACUAACACUCAUGAGUUUGCUGUAGAGGCGAACAGAAGGCUCCGGCCGCAUAAUCUUUAUUUUUUGAAACAAUUCAAUAACAUCGUCUACUUCUUUAGCACAACUGAAAUCAAUUGUGGGCUGCUUAGGUUGAAAAGCCUCGGAAGAGAAGAGAGAGAACAUAGGAGAGAGAAUACCCGAUUUAUGCGACCAUCGAUUGAGAAAUCCUCUUCCAUGAAUGAGAUUUAUUGCAGAAACAGCAGCUCUUCUGCUCAUCAUCGUUAAUCGGCGGCGAGAUUUAGAUCUGAAUAAAGGUAAACAAGUGAGAAACCUACCAGCAAAAAUGGGAGAUCGAGCUUUGUUUGCUUCUUCAGAUUUAGGAAUUUUGUUGUUUGAUUUUAAGGUGGGCCCAAUCUCAUUCUAUCUUAUAUAUUGGGCCCAAAUAUGAGGUGAUUUCAAUUUUGCCCAAUAACUUUAGAGCCUCUUCAGCAGAAGUUGAGAAUUUUAAGUUUAAAUAUUCAAUUAUUUCGAGAGUUGUGUAUUAUUAUUAUUAUUAUUAUUAUUAUUAUUAUUAUUAUUAUUAUUAUUCUUAUUAUUAUUAUUAUUGAUCUUGUUGUUGUUGCCGUACGCCAUUCAUGCGAUGCACGAGCCAUAAUAUAUUGAUAAUUAAAAAAUAAAUAAAAUUAUAUAAAAAUGUCAAAAUAUUAGUAUCAUUUAUAAGUUAAAUUAGUAUUUGGUAACAAAAAGUAAUUUCUGUUAAUUAAAAUAUUAUGCGAUUUGAAAUUGUAUAUCAUAAAACUAUUAUCAAUUCAAUGAGCACAAUAUUAAAUUUAAUGAGUAUCGCAUAGUAAUAAUUAAAUUUAGAUAUUGUAAAGAAAGUAAUUUAAGUCAAUCUCUUUUUGAACAAAUAAUCUUAAACCAUCAAUAUCAAAAAAAAAGUUUAAUUAAUAAUCUAAAAAUACAAAAUCGGUUAAACAAAUGGAUUGGGCAUAUGAUAUUCUUAAACAAAUGAAAGUAAACAAAGAAUUAUUCAAAAUCCAAUAAUAAAAAUCAACAAUGAAGCAACAUGAGAAAGCGAGGUGCAUUUAGGGAGAAGGAUCAAUAAUGGUUUGCGUUUUCUCCUUCACGGUGACUCGAACCUUCCAAUUUAAUGGUUUACGAGGAAGCGCCUUACGUCUUACCAACCGAGCUGGACUUCGUGGUGACUCGAACCCCCCAAUUUAAUGGUUUGAGAGGAAGCGUCUUACGUUUUACCAACUGAGCUGCGUUUCAUUGUCAGUGAGGUGCAUUAAUCAGUUAAGGGUAGGCUUCUGGAACUUUCCAUGAACAAAUACUCUCUUCAUCACCUUUCCAUUCUGCUGGUUUGCUGCAUUGACACAGCAGUAUUCAAGUUCAACCUACAACAACAAUCAUCUCCAACUCAAUCAAUAUAUUAUCGAAACUAAUAAUGCUGCUAAAUGUCUAAAAACAAAUAUCUUCCUCUAGUUCGUAUCGAGCUAAAACAUACAAUAAAUCGAAGUGAAACUAAAAUCCUCUUCAAAAUGAGCAAAAUUGAUGAAUCUAGAGAUGAACAGAGAGUUGAAUGUAUGAACGUAUAAAAUACAAUUCUAGCAAAUGAGAAAAUCCAAAGGCUAAACUCUUCCAAGUAGCGGAAAUGGCUGAUGGAAAACAAACGAAACCAGACAACACGGGGUGAAUUCAUCACACGCAAAUGCUUGCAAAAUAACAACAAGACGAGAAACUCAAAGCAGAUGGAUCCGUACUAGCACAAGACACAGCGCAGAAAGACCACCCGACAGUGGAACUCCGUUCGAGUAUAUAUCAUUCUUAGCAUUCUAUGAAUCACUUCUUGACAACUGAACCGGAGUAAAAAUCCCACGUGAUUUAUUUUCCUGCGUAAAAGAAUGGCAACGAAACAGGAAACAGUUCAGCAGAAGCUACUUUCAACAGUAAACAGGAACCCUAGAUGUUCGAGUUGAGAAAGUGGUGAUCUUUCACACUAAAACCAUCUUCUUUUUUUUUUUAAUUCUUUUUGGCGUAAAAUCUCAUUGAAUUUUAAACAACCUUACCACCACACAAACUGACAACAACAAUGGUUAGAGAGAGAGAGAGAGAGCAUAAAGAUUACUGCAUUCAACUCCAACGACAACAACAAAGGUUAUAACAAGAAGAUGAAUAGAAUCAAAUGUAACUUCACUCAAGUAUUCAUACCUCAAAAUAGAACAUUCACUUGUCGAUUUUGAGCACAAACUUUCUUAAGAAUCUCUUGCAAUUUCUCAUCUUUACCUUCUCCUAUUCUAAGUUCCUCAAGCAAUGCAGAAAUGAUUUCUGAAUUAACCUCAAGUCCUCUCCUGCACAUCUCCUCCAAGAAAGGUAUUGCCUCAUGCACCCUUUUGCUCUUCACCAGAUGGCACACAAUAAUGUUGUACGUCACGCCAUCAGGCACGCAGCCGCUCCUUUCCAUCUCCACCAUCAACCUCCUUGCCUGCGCUUUGCGCCUUUCAUGGUAGAGGGAGUCGAUCAUCAUGUUGUAGGUAUAUGCGCUAGGAUUUAAGCCCUUGGAAGGGAGAUGGUUGAAGAGCCUCGUAGCAUCAUUGAGUCUUCCGCCCUUGCACAAGCCGUUGAUCAGAACACUAUACGUUACAAUAUCAGGUUUCACGCCUUCUGCCUCCAUCACCG
rnacentral:lncRNA from 1 species